AAAAUUGCAGCAGUUACAUUUUUUAUGCAUUUAAUUCUUGCUUCUAUUCUAUGGUAUGGUAUUAUCUACUAUUUUAGCUAACAUUGAAUUUUGAAGAAAUCAGUAACAAUAACAUAUUGAUGCAUUUUAGCAGCUGAAGAGAAAGAAAAGCCUGUCCCUGUGAAGAAAGGUAUGACUCCUGCUAUUAAACUUAUAUUAAAAAUAUUUUUUUCAUUGUAUAAUGUGUUAUUUGAAAUUGUUUAUACAGCCUUUCUCUUACAUACAGUAUAUAGAUUCAAAUGAAAAUAUCAUGUCUUUUGUGAUGACCUGUUACUGUUAAUGUAAAAAAAAAAAAAAAAAAAAAAAAAAAGAAGGGUAGGAUGCACUUAAAGUAACAGAAAUUCAUUUAAAAGCAAUUUUUAUGCAUGACAUUAACUGAACCUGCUGACUCAUUUUCAGAGCCUGAUGUUUCUAAAGGGAAAGAAAAAACAUCGACUGCCAAAAAAGAAGGGAAGCCAACAACUGCUCCUGUUAAAAAAGAGCCUGCAGUUGCAGAAGAGAAAGUCAAACCAGUACCUUCAAAGAAAGAUACUGAAGCUACUAAGGAGAAAGUGAAACCAGCCCCAGUUAAGAAAGAGCCUGAGGUUUCCAAAGAAAAAGCAAAGCCAGUACCUUCAAAGAAAGAGGCUGAAGCUGUUGAAGAGAAGGCAAAACCAGCUCCAGCUAAAAAAGAGCCUGAAAUUAUAAAAGAGAAGGAGAAACCUCCAAAGAAAGAGGCUGUAGAAAAGCCCAAACCUGCUUCUGUAAAGAAAGAACCUGAAGUUCCAAAAGAAAAAGAAAAACCUGAACCUACCAAAAAAGAGGCAGAAGUUGCCAAGGACAAACUUAAACCUGUCGCUGUGAAGAAAGAACCUGCUGUUGCAGUUGAAAAGGCAAAACUUAAACCUGCACCAAAGAAAGAACCUGAAGUUACCAAAGAGAAAGCUAAACCAGAACCUGCCAAGAAAGAACCUGAGAUAACCAAAGAAAAACCCAGGGCACCAAAGAAAGAGAUCAUCAAGGAGAAAGUUAAACCAGCUCCUGAAAAGAAAGAGCCUGAAGUUGCUAAAGAAAAGACACCUGAACCAAAACCCAAAAAAGAGCCUGAAGUUAUCAAAGAGAAACCAGCACCUCCAAAGAAAGCUGAGGUUCCAAAGGAAAAGGCAAAACCAGUCCCAGAAAAGAAAGGUAUAUAUAUCCAGUUAGCCUUAAAGGGAUACUCCACCCCAAAAUGA
ensembl:lncRNA